rnacentral:rRNA from 1 species
AUUGAACGCUGGCGGCAUGCCUUACACAUGCAAGUCGAACGGCAGCACGGGAGCAAUCCUGGUGGCGAGUGGCGAACGGGUGAGUAAUAUAUCGGAACGUGCCCGGUCGUGGGGGAUAACGUAGCGAAAGCUACGCUAAUACCGCAUACGAUCUAUGGAUGAAAGCGGGGGGAUCGCAAGACCUCGCGCGAUUGGAGCGGCCGAUAUCAGAUUAGGUAGUUGGUGAGGUAAAGGCUCACCAAGCCGACGAUCUGUAGCUGGUCUGAGAGGAUGAUCAGCCACACUGGGACUGAGACACGGCCCAGACUCCUACGGGAGGCAGCAGUGGGGAAUAUUGGACAAUGGGCGAAGCCUGAUCCAGCAAUGCGCGUGAGUGAUGAAGGCCUUAGGG